AUUGAACGCUGGCGGCAGGCCUAACACAUGCAAGUCGAGCGAGCGGAGGACGGGUGAGUAAUGUAUGGGGAUCUGCCUGAUGGCGGGGGCUAACUACUGGAAACGGUAGCUAAUACAGCAUAACAUCAGAUGCACCCAUAUGGGAUUAGCUAGUAGGUGAGGUAACGGGUUACAUAGGCGACGAUCCCUAGCUGGUCUGAGAGGAUGAUCAGCCACACUGGGACUGAGACACGGCCCAGACUCCUACGGUAGGAAGCAGUGGGGAAUAUUGCACAAGGGGCGCAAGCCUGAUUCAGCCAUGCCGCGGGUAUGAAGAAGGCCUUCGGGUUGUAAAGUACUUUCAGCCGGGAGGCGUUACCGACAGAAGAAGCACCGGCUAACGCCGUGCCAGCAGCCGCGGUAAUUC
rnacentral:rRNA from 1 species